ACAACAACGAUAACAACCAGAACUCAUAACAAGAACAAAACGUAACGGCUCUAGCAGAACAACAACAAGACGGCAGAGACGAAGCUAACUGAUUCUUUUGGAGAGGAGUUGCCAAGCUGCACCAGCAGCACCACCAGGCAGAGAACAACAAAAACUGCACAAGCAGAAGCCCGAACUGGUUGGAAAAGGUAACAUCAGCGGCCAAAGGUAUCCGUUUGCUCUUGGCUCCCAGUGAAGGAGCAUAUCCCGAAAAGCGUUGGCUCAAGGGACGGCCCUAAAACAAAAACAAUAGGUCCGAUCAAUAAUAAUAAAAGCACGCAACAUUACUUAAGAGGGAGCUUCGGCUCCCUCUGCUGCGUCAUGUCUACUAUUGCUUUUUCCAUUC
rnacentral:sRNA from 1 species